UACGUAGGUGGCAAGCGUUGUCCGGAUUUACUGGGCGUAAAGAGCGCGCAGGCGGUUGAUUAAGUCGAAUGUGAAAGCCCCCGGCUCAACUGGGGAGGGUCAUUCGAUACUGAUCGACUUGAAGGCAGGAGAGGGAAGUGGAAUUCCGGGUGUAGUGGUGAAAUGCGUAGAUAUCCGGAGGAACACCAGUGGCGAAGGCGACUUCCUGGCCUGUUCUUGACGCUGAGGAGCGAAAGCGUGGGGAGCGAUCCGG
rnacentral:rRNA from 1 species